CUCCCGUUAGUCCGCGGUCCGGUCAGGUCUUCUGCUACCGGCUCUCGUCUCCCAGCUUGCGACCGGCGGACGGGAGUCCUCUGCAGGGAGAGGCAAGACUGGGAGUCGUCGCCCGAGCGAGCCUUUCAUCUCAGAAGUUCAAGGUACUUUGUACAACCUCUGCCACCCAGGCCAUGCAUCCUGCAGGGCAUUUGUAAGCCAUGGCUGCCGUCAGGAAGAAACUGGUGAUUGUUGGUGAUGGAGCCUGUGGCAAGACGUGCUUGCUCAUAGUCUUCAGCAAGGACCAGUUCCCAGAGCAGUACGUGCCCACGGUGUUUGAGAACUACGUGGCAGUUAUCGAGGUGGAUGGGAAGCAGGUAGAACUGGCUUUGUGGGACACAGCUGGGCAGGAAGAUUAUGAGCGCCUCAGGCCCUUCUCCUACCCGGACACUGAUGUUAUACUGAUGUGCUUCUCCAUCAACAACCCUGAUAGUUUAAAAAACAUCCCAGAAAAGUGGACCCCAGAAGUCCAGCAUUUCUGCCCCAAUGUGCCCAUCAUCCUGGUCGGGAACAAGAUGGAUCUUCGGAAUGAUGCGCGCACAAGGCAGAAGCUAGCCAAGAUGAAGCAGGAGCCUGUAAAACCUGAAGAAGGCAGAGACAUGGCGAACAGCAUUGGCGCGUUUGGGUACAUGGAGUGUUCAGCAAAGACGAAAGAUGGAGUGAGGGAGGUUUUUGAGGUGGCCACGAGAGCUGCUCUGCUAACCAAACAUAAAGAGAAAAAACCUGGGUGCCAAGUCCUGUGAAACCUUGCUGCGAGCACAGCCCUUCUGCGGUUAAUUUUUAAGUGCUGUUUAUUAAUGUUAGUGUAUGACAACUAGCCUCUUUCAUUUAUCUAUAAUUUACCGAAGAUUACAAAUCAGAAGUCAUCCUGCUACUAGCAUUUAGAAGCCAACCAUGAUUAUUAAAAUGAUGUCCAACCUGCCUGGCCCACCAAGGUCCUUUCUGACACUGCUCUAACGCCCCUUUUCUGCACUCCCACCUGACACACCAGCUGCUAAUUCAAGAAAUUUCUUAAUAACUUCUUGCUUCUUUCUAGAAAGAGAAACAGUUGGUAACUUUUGUGAAUUAGGCCGUAACUACUUUAUAACUAACAUGCCCUGCCUAUCAUCUGUCAGCUGCAAGGUACUCUGCUGAGUCACCACAUCAGAGCUUUACUCCUUAACAGAUUUCAUUGACACAGCUCUGACCAUCCAGUUUUUUUUUUAAAUGUGCUCGCUAGAAAGGCCCAAGUCCAUGCAGCUGUGGCAGAGUUACAGUACUGUGGUUUCAUGUUAGUUGCCUUGUAGUUACUGUGUAAUUAGUGCCACUUAAUGUACAUUACCAAAAAUAAAUAUAUCUACC